GGUUGGGGAGGAGGAAGCAGACGGAAUGCUGGAGAGGAGAGAAGGAAACCUCCUCCUCUCUCCAGCGUUCCGUCUGCUUCCUCCUCCUCAGCCU
rnacentral:pre_miRNA from 1 species